rnacentral:lncRNA from 1 species
AGGAGCAGCUUCACCUUGCGUCAGCUAACCGCUGUUGUUAAUGGAUAUGUGUGUUUGAUUUUAAGGUGAAUUAUUUGAUUGUGUGUGGUUAAGGUUACCUUUUGUGCACUAAAUUGACACACCAUCAUAUUGUAUAGUUUGUGUGUAUGUAUUUUAGCCUUUUAGGUGAAUCUCUUGAUUGUGUGAUUAAGGUUACCUUUUGCCUAUCUUAUACUUAUACUAGUGUUUUUUGAUUGAGCUUAUAGUUAAUCUGUGAUUAUAAUUUCCUAUAUGGUAAGAGGCUAUUUGUGAGGUUCAAAAAUAAUACAUUCUUAAAAUUGUAUUUUUUUUUUCUUUUGAAUGAUUCCUAAGUAUCUGUAAAGAAAAAGCAACUUUCAAAUGACAUAAGAUGCUUUGAUUGAUAAUGAAUGACAU